GAGUCUUGUGACUCCAAAAGCUGAACAGUGGCAUAACAGAAAUCUAACAAGAGCUUGGUUGAGUAGGUGAUCUGAGGAUUGCAGUAUACAGUGUGCCAUGAAAACUUCUUUGGGGAAAACAUAAAGAACCAACUUCUCUUAG